AGAGAGAGACAUGCGCGCAUAUCAAUAAGCGGAGGAAAAGAAACUAACUAGGAUUCCCCUAGUAACGGCGAGUGAAGCGGGAAGAGCUCAAAUUUGGAAAUCUUCAAGGUUCUACCUUGACGAAUUGUAGUUUAAAGAAGUGUUUUCUGUUGGAGUUUUGGUAAAAGUUCUUUGGAAUAGGACAUCAUAGAGGGUGAGAAUCCCGUAUUUGACCAUUAUUUCCAGCUUUGUGAUACACUUUCAAAGAGUCGGAUUGUUUGGGAAUGCAGUCCAAAAUGGGUGGUAAAUUUCAUUCUAAAGCUAAAUACUGGCGAGAGACCGAUAGCGAACAAGUUACCGUGAGGGAAAGAUGAAAAGAACUUUGAAAAGAGAGUUAAACAGUACGUGAAAUUGUCAAAAGGGAAGCGUUUGACACCAGUGUUGUUUUCUCGAAAAUCAAUUAAAAAAGGCAGGAUUUUGUGUUGUAUUGACUUUAUCAGCUUUCUGCACUCUUUUCUUGUCUUUUUUAAUGCACUUUUCGUUUAACAAGUCAACAUCAAUUUCUUUUGUUGUAAAAGGGUCAUUGGAAGGUGGCUUUCUUUUCGGAGAAAGUGUUUAUAGCCUUUGGCCUCUGCAAUCGGAGAGAUUGAGGUCUGCAGCGUAGAUCCUUCGGGGUUAGAUACAUUUGUGCUAAGUUAUAGCCUUUCAUAGACAACUUGUUGACUAUGAUCAGUCAUGUAGCUUACUCGCUUAUGCUAUUUUACCUACGCUUAGGAUGUUGAUGUGAUACUGCGAGC
rnacentral:rRNA from 1 species